rnacentral:lncRNA from 1 species
AGGAGUUAGGUCACCUCCCAGUGGCUUGAUUUCCUCUUUUUGUCUUACCCAGUGCAAAAGGCUCCAGAAAGAUCAUUGAGUAGGAUCAUAUCUGUGAGUUUGUAGUCCCGAUAUCCAGAAUAUGGAUGCCCUCAUAUUCUUAUUCUUGGGAAAGAUCCUCCUUUUAUAUUUCAAUCGACUUAUUCCAAUAUUUGAGGGAGGAAAAAAAUUGUCAAGAAACUGUCAGUGUAUCAUUCUUCCCCCUUGAGAUCUAUAUGGCACCAAUGCUGGCAAAGGAGGUUGAGAUGGUAGUAGUGGUAGA